UCCUACGGGGGGCAGCAGUGAGGAAUAUUGGUCAAUGGACGAGAGUCUGAACCAGCCAAGUAGCGUGAAGGAUGACUGCCCUAUGGGUUGUAAACUCCUUUUAUAUGGGAAUAAAAUGUUCCACGUGUGGGAUUUUGUAUGUACCAUAUGAAUAAGGAUCGGCUAACUCCGUGCCAGCAGCCGCGGUAAUACGGAGGAUGCGAGCGUUAUCCGGAUUUAUUGGGUUUAAAGGGUGCGUAGGCGGAAUAUCAAGUCAGCGGUAAAAAUUCGGGGCUCAACCCCGUCGUGCCGUUGAAACUGAUGUU
rnacentral:rRNA from 1 species